rnacentral:rRNA from 1 species
UUAAGUGACUAAGCGUACACGGUGGAUGCCUAGGCAGUCAGAGGCGAUGAAGGGCGUGCUAAUCUGCGAUAAGUGUCGGUAAGGUGAUAUGAACCGUUAUAACCGGCAAUACCCGAAUGGGGAAACCCAGUGCAAUCCGUUGCACUAUCCUGUCAUGAAUACAUAGUGGCAGGAGGCGAACCGGGGAACUGAAACAUCUAAGUACCCGAGGAAAAGAAAUCAACCGAGAUUCCCCUAGUAGCGGCGAGCGAACGGGAGGAGCCCAGAACCUGAAUCAGGUUAUGUGUUAGUGGAAGCGUCUGGAAAGUCGCAGGGUACAGGGUGAUACUCCCGUACACUAAAAUGCAUAAUGUGUGAGUUCGAUGAGUAGGGCGGGACACGUGACAUCCUGUCUGAAUAUGGGGGGGACCAUCCUCCAAGGCUAAAUACUCCUGACUGACCGAUAGUGAACCAGUACCGUGAGGGAAAGGCGAAAAGAACCCCGGCGAGGGGAGUGAAAUAGAACCUGAAACCGUGUACGUACAAGCAGUGGGAGCACCUUCGUGGUGUGACUGCGUACCUUUUGUAUAAUGGGUCAGCGACUUAUAUUUUGUAGCAAGGUUAACCGAAUAGGGGAGCCGUAGGGAAACCGAGUCUUAACUGGGCGUCAAGUUGCAAGGUAUAGACCCGAAACCCGGUGAUCUAGCCAUGGGCAGGUUGAAGGUUGGGUAACACUAACUGGAGGACCGAACCGACUAAUUGUUGAAAAAUUAGCGGAUGACUUGUGGCUGGGGGUGAAAGGCCAAUCAAACCGGGAGAUAGCUGGUUCUCCCCGAAAGCUAUUUAGGUAGCGCCUCGUGAACUCAUCUUCGGGGGUAGAGCACUGUUUCGACUAGGGGGUCAUCCCGACUUACCAACUCGAUGCAAACUCCGAAUACCGAAGAAUGUUAUCACGGGAGACACACGGCGGGUGCUAACGUCCGUCGUGAAGAGGGAAACAACCCAGACCGCCAGCUAAGGUCCCAAAGUCAUGGUUAAGUGGAAACGAUGUGGGAAGGCAUAGACAGCCAGGAUGUUGGCUUAGAAGCAGCAUCAUUUAAAGAAGCGUAAUAGCUCACUGGUCGAGUCGGCCUGCGCGGAAAUGUAACGGGCUAAACCAUGCACCGAAGCUGCGGCAGCGAUACGAAAUAUUGUUGGGUAGGGGAGCGUUGUAAGCGAAGGUGAACUGUGAGGUUUGCUGGAGGUAUCAGAAGUGCGAAUGCUGACAUAAGUAACGAUAAUGCGGGUGAAAAACCCGCACGCCGGAAGACCAAGGGUUCCUGUCCAACGUUAAUCGGCAAGUCGACCCUAAGGCGAGGCCGAAAGGCGUAGUCGAUGGAAACAGGUUAUAUCCUGUACUUGGUGUUACUGCGAAGGGGGACGAAGAAGGCUAGGCUAUCCGGGCGACGGUUGUCCCGUUUAAGCGUGUAGGUGGAGUGAUUAGGUAAAUCCGGUCGCUUAUUAACACUGAGGCGUGAUGACGAGUCUCUACGGAGAUGAAGUAGUUGAUGCCACACUUCCAGGAAAAGCCUCUAAGCAUCAGGUAACAUUAAAUCGUACCCCAAACCGACACAGGUGGUCAGGUAGAGAAUACUCAGGCGCUUGAGAGAACUCGGGUGAAGGAACUAGGCAAAAUGGUGCCGUAACUUCGGAGAAAGGCACGCUGACGCUAGGUGAAGAGACUUGCUCUCGGAGCUGAAGUCAGUCGAAGAUACCAGCUGGCUGCAACUGUUUAUUAAAAACACAGCACUGUGCAAACACGAAAGUGGACGUAUACGGUGUGACGCCUGCCCGGUGCUGGAAGGUUAAUUGAUGGGGUUAGCCGCAAGGCGAAGCUCUUGAUCGAAGCCCCAGUAAACGGCGGCCGUAACUAUAACGGUCCUAAGGUAGCGAAAUUCCUUGUCGGGUAAGUUCCGACCUGCACGAAUGGCGUAAUGAUGGCCAGGCUGUCUCCACCCGAGACUCAGUGAAAUUGAACUCGCAGUGAAGAUGCUGUGUACCCGCGGCAAGACGGAAAGACCCGUGAACCUUUACUAUAGCUUGACACUGAACAUUGAGCCUUGAUGUGUAGGAUAGGUGGGAGGCUUUGAAGCGUGGACGCCAGUCUGCGUGGAGCCAACCUUGAAAUACCACCCUUUAAUGUUUGAUGUUCUAACUUUGGCCCCUAAUCGGGGUUGAGGACAGUGUCUGGUGGGUAGUUUGACUGGGGCGGUCUCCUCCUAAAGAGUAACGGAGGAGCACGAAGGUUAGCUAAUCACGGUCGGACAUCGUGAGGUUAGUGCAAUGGCAUAAGCUAGCUUGACUGCGAGAGUGACGGCUCGAGCAGGUACGAAAGUAGGUCAUAGUGAUCCGGUGGUUCUGAAUGGAAGGGCCAUCGCUCAACGGAUAAAAGGUACUCCGGGGAUAACAGGCUGAUACCGCCCAAGAGUUCAUAUCGACGGCGGUGUUUGGCACCUCGAUGUCGGCUCAUCACAUCCUGGGGCUGAAGUAGGUCCCAAGGGUACGGCUGUUCGCCGUUUAAAGUGGUACGCGAGCUGGGUUUAGAACGUCGUGAGACAGUUCGUCCCUAUCUGCCGUGGGCGUUGGAAGAUUGAGAGGGGUUGCUCCUAGUACGAGAGGACCGGAGUGAACGCACCACUGGUGUUCGGGUUGUCAUGCCAAUGGCAUUGCCCGGUAGCUACGUGCGGAAAAGAUAACCGCUGAAAGCAUCUAAGCGGGAAACUUGCCUCAAGAUGAGUCUUCCCUGGGCCUUUAAGGCCCCUGAAGGAACGUUUGAGACUAAGACGUUGAUAGGCUGGGUGUGUAAGCAUAGCGAUAUGUUGAGCUAACCAGUACUAAUGAUCCGUGAGGCUUAACCUU